rnacentral:misc_RNA from 1 species
ACAAACUUGGUCAUUUAGAGGAAGUAAAAGUCGUAACAAGGUUUCCGUAGGUGAACCUGCGGAAGGAUCAUUAUUGAAUUUUUAAAUGAAUGGGGUUGUUGCUGGUCCCUGAGAGGGGGCAUGUGCACGCUUCAUUUCAUCCAAACCCUUACACCUCUGUGCACUUCUCAUAGGUUGGAAUGGUUUCAUGAACCUGCUCUUGAAUUGGGAGCGGCAAAGUGGACUCUGGCCUGUGUGCUUUUGCAAUACACCUCUUUGUCAUAGAAUGUCAAUAUCAUGCAUGAAUGCAUAUUACAAGUAUAACUUUCAGCAACGGAUCUCUUGGCUCUCGCAUCGAUGAAGAACGCAGC